GGCAGAGACACAGGCAGAGGGAGAAGCAGGCUCCAUGCAGGCAGCCUAACGUGGGACUUGAUCCCGGGUCUCCAGGAUCACGCCUUGGGCUGAAGGCGGCGCUAAACCGCUGAGCCACGGGCUGCCCAGAGGCUGUAUUUUCAGACACACCGAGGAAACCCACGUCCACUGGAGAGGAUAAAAGCCAUGUGGAGGAAUCUUGGUUUGAAGACAUUGACCCAGGAGAGAGAAGUCCUUGGUAUCGCUUUUGGAGACACCUUGUGGACAAUCUGUCAAGAAUUCUAUGAUACAUAGCUAAAUACAUUGAGGGCCCAUAAAUUGUCAGACCUUGUGCCCAUCUCAGAAAAGCAAAGAUAAAGAAGAUUGGAAUUUUCUUUUCUUUUUAUUAUCCAACAGAUGGUAGAGUAUAGCAUAGGGAUUUGGUUCAAGGCAGGAAGUGUCAGAAGACCUGGAUUUGGCUCCUGCCUUUGUUAGCAUGGACCAUGUCAGGGAAGAUGGAGACACCUUCACGGCCGGUUAGUCACAUCUCACCAAAGCUUCUCAAUGGGCUGUCAGACAAGAAAGGAGCCUCAUGUAGCCACCUUAAUCAGCAUCCCCCAUCUGUGAGGUCAUCGGGAUGUUUCAAACAAUUUCCAGCUCUCAUUAGUUGAGCGUGUUCCACAGGCAAGUCCUUAUCUUUUGUAACUUUUGCUGCCACAUCCUGAGAAAGCCUCUCUGCAGAAUGACACUUUCCCCAUGGGUCAACCCGCGGUAAUGAGCCACCAAUUGACGUGCCCUUUGCACUCACUGGCAGUAUAUGUUGAUAUUAACCUUUCGUGUUGUGAGAUGUCGCUUUUACCCUUGGCUUCUGCCAUGGAAGUCUCAUUAUUUCUAAUAGGCUGUGGCAAUUAGGGUCUUGGGGCUGUUGAUCGCAGCCAUUCGGAGCAGGGAAGGGGCACUCAGGGAGAACGGCCGCUUUUUCUUUACAUGAACAAUGUAGUGCAUAGCUCAGCCCAAAUCUGCAAAUAGCGAGGCAGUGGUGGACCUCCAGCCACUGAUGGGAAACUCCUCACCGAGUCCUUUCACAUGUGCUCUCCUUACAUUAGCUGCUGGCUAUUUUCAGACUCCUUUUGUGCAGAGUGCCGUGCUCGGCACAUACUUCAGCGCAUUGGAUUUGGCCUAAUAAGGAAUUCAUUAAACAGGAUUUUUGGGAAAGAAAUGGGUGCAAAGAGAUCUUUUCUUUUUCUUUCUUUCAAAGAUAGUUGGCUGGAAAAGGAAACAGAUGACGCAGACAACCAGCCAUCUUGGGUGGCCCAUGGACCCUCUGAGGAGGCAGCAUUGAGCCUGAUGGCCCCGGGAAGGCCCCUCAGGCUUGUGAUUGGGAAAUGUUGACUCCUGAUGGAAUUUUGUGGUUGUUGAA